rnacentral:lncRNA from 1 species
CUCGGCUCACGGGGAGAGCUGCGGCCUCCUGGAUUACGACUGGGAAGGCUCUUCCCAGGCGGAGAAAAGGCGUGAGGGAGGGGACGGAGGCGGGAGAGUCAAGAGCGUGGUACACUUAGAAGGUUAGUUUGAGAGGAACAAAGAAGUGAGCUGCUGAGCAGUGGUGGAAGGGAGCUGGAAAAAAAAAAAGUAAGAUGGGGAGAGUCGGGGGAGAGCGUUGAAGCCACUUGUGAGGAUUUUUGUUUGAUGCAGAGGGAAAUGGGAAGGCAGUGAAGGUUUAUGAGGAGUGGAGAGGUGCGUGCUAAGAUGCAGGAGGAAGAAGGUGGCUUCAACAGGUCCCCGUCAGGAUGACGCCAAGCUGGUGCCUCGUUCCCUAUUUGAGCCUCCCAAAGGGCGAACCCUAACCUUCUCGAUUUGGUUUACCGGCAGAUUCGGGAGCUCUGCCGUCCUUCACAGCUCUCGCUGCAGCAGAGGCCUCAGCGAGGGCUGCAUCUUCCCCCGUUGGUAGGCGAGCAGAGCGGCGUCCUGCUGGGCGCCCUGUUUGCCAUUUGAUGGGUUUGUGUCGAAUUCCCAACCAGCAGAGGUCACCGCAGAUGCUCCCGAACCUACUUUCAGACGCACCUUCGCAGCGAGACGACAGAAAUAUAGGAAGAUAAACAUUUUUAAAAAGCCCUAAUUGGAUCAAACAUGGCUGACAACAGGAGAAAGGGGGAAAGGAGCCCAGCAAGAACACUGUUCCUAAUGUGAAAUAAUCUGCCGCCUUUAAUAAAGAAGAUAUCUCUGAUGUGCCUUUCCGGGUUUCUCUAAUCCAGUUGGGCAACAAUUCGUUCCUAGCUUCGGUCACCCUACAUUUAGGGGUGACUUCGUUCCAUCUGCGCACACACUACAGAAAAUCGAUACUUUCUCCCCCACUCCUCUCCCCCACGCGUUUCUAAAACCUCUCAGAAUUAGAUUUACCUCUCCCGAUACCGUAAUCAAAUACAAUGGCCCUUCGGUCGUAGCCUAAGAGAGACGGAGAAGAGUUGAGGCCAUAUGUCAGUG